GCAAUCUUACCAGAUACAGCCACAAUUCUUGUUGCUGGAUUUGGAGUUGGUGGAACUAGUCUUCCAUUUUGGGAAAAUGUGUAUGGUUUUAGAAUGUCUUGUGUAGGGAAGGAACUUGUAAAAGAUGCUGCCAACACUCCCAUCGUUGAUAUUGUGGAUGUUAAUGAUUUAGUAACUAGUCCUGCAAUCCUCCAUGUAAGUACUACGUAAAUGAAUUUUUUAUUAUUGUGAAUGCAUUAUACUAUACUACCACAGCUUGGUGAAAAAU
rnacentral:misc_RNA from 1 species